rnacentral:rRNA from 1 species
AAUGCCAGUCUCAGAGAACAAUAUCCAUCCUUAUAUAACAUUGCUCGCGAUAAGAACAAUACUAUUGCGCACGUGCUCAGUUCAUCCCCGCCGAACAAUUGGUUCAGGCGGGAUUUGAUUUGCCCCCGACAUCUGUCAUGGCAUAAUCUUUUGUCCCGACUGAAUUCGAUUAACCUGACACAAGGCCAGAAUGUAUUUCACUGAAACCUUGCUACAUCAAGGUCUUUCACAGUAGACUCUAUGUACCGUGUGCUCACGCAUUUUGCGGUACCAGUGGGUAAUAACAAGAAAAUUUGGAAGUCCAAGAUUUCACUAAAAAUGAAAAUCUUCAUGUGGUAUCUUUAUAAGGGAGUUGUUAACCAACGACAACCUCGCACGGCGCAACUGGCCAGGGAGUAA